rnacentral:rRNA from 1 species
ACUGCAGUCUGCAACUCGACUGCACGAAGUCGGAAUUGCUAGUAAUCGCGGAUCAGCAUGCCGCGGUGAAUACGUUCCCGGGUCUUGUACACACCGCCCGUCACACCAUGAGAGCCGGAAACACCCGAAGUCCGUAGCCUAACCGCGGAGGGGGGCGCGGCCGAAGGUGGGUUUGGUAAUUGGGGUGAAGUCGUAACAAGGUAAC